rfam:Williamsia sterculiae strain CPCC 203464 genome assembly, contig: Ga0104459_103
UGCGGUCCUCGGUAGUGGCGGCCGGAGUGCUGUGUGUGAACACGCAUCUCCGACCGCUUCGAUCGAAGGCCGUA